UCCGGUUGAUCCUGCCGGACCCCACUGCUAUCGGGAUAGGACUAAGACAUGCUAGUCGUGUGCCUCAGCCAAAACGAGGCACGGCGCACAGCUCAGUAACACGUGGCUAACCUGCCCUUAGGACGGGAAUAACCCCGGGAAACUGGGGCUAAUGCUCGAUAGGUGAAGAACUCUGGAAUGAGUCUUCACUUAAAAGAGUCUGCGUUAUGCUCGUAGAUUUCGCUUAAGGAUGGGGCCGCGACCGAUCAGGUUGUUGGUGAGGUAAUGGCUCACCAAGCCUUUUACCGGUGCGGGCCGUGAGAGCGGGAGCCCGGAGAUGGGCACUGAGACAAGGGCCCAGGCCCUACGGGGCGCAGCAGUCGCGAAAACUUUGCAAUACACGAAAGUGUGACAGGGCUAUCCCGAGUGCCAUCCGCUGAGGAAGGCUUUUACCCAGUCUAGAACGCUGGGGGAAUAAGGAGAGGGCAAGUCUGGUGUCAGCCGCCGCGGUAAUACCAGCUCUCCGAGUGGUGUGGAUGUUUAUUGGGCCUAAAGCAUCCGUAGCUGGCUAAGUUAGUCCCCUGUUAAAUCCAACGAAUUAAUCGUUGGAUCGCGGGGGAUACUGCUUGGCUAGGGGACGAGAGAGGCAGACGGUAUUUCCGGGGUAGGGGUGAAAUCCUAUAAUCCCGGGAAGACCACCAGUGGCGAAGGCUGUCUGCUAGAACGCGCCCGACGGUGAGGGAUGAAAGCUGGGGGAGCGAACCGGAUUAGAUACCCGGGUAGUCCCAGCUGUAAACGAUGCAGGCUAGGUGUUUGGACGGCCACGUGCCGUUCUAGUGCCGCAGGGAAGCUGUUAAGCCUGCCGCCUGGGGAGUACGAUCG
rnacentral:rRNA from 1 species